GAAGAAAAGCAAACAACCAACAGGCGAACAAGAAAAAGAAAAGAAGGGUUCUUCUUUUCUCUUCCUUCUCUUCUUUCCCUCCCUUCUCUUCUCCUUUUUAUUAUUUU
rnacentral:ribozyme from 13 species